GAGUUUGAUCGUGGCUCAGAACGAACGCUGGCGGCGUGGAUAAGACAUGCAAGUCGAACGGGAGAAUUGCUAGCUUGCUAAUAAUUCUCUAGUGGCGCACGGGUGAGUAACACGUGAGUAACCUGCCCCCGAGAGCGGGAUAGCCCUGGGAAACUGGGAUUAAUACCGCAUAGUAUCGAAAGAUUAAAGCAGCAAUGCGCUUGGGGAUGGGCUCGCGGCCUAUUAGUUAGUUGGUGAGGUAACGGCUCACCAAGGCGAUGACGGGUAGCCGGUCUGAGAGGAUGUCCGGCCACACUGGAACUGAGACACGGUCCAGACACCUACGGGUGGCAGCAGUCGAGAAUCAUUCACAAUGGGGGAAACCCUGAUGGUGCGACGCCGCGUGGGGGAAUGAAGGUCUUCGGAUUGUAAACCCCUGUCAUGUGGGAGCAAAUUAAAAAGAUAGUACCACAAGAGGAAGAGACGGCUAACUCUGUGCCAGCCGCCGCGGUAAC
rnacentral:rRNA from 1 species